UACCAGCACCCCGAGUGGUCGUGACGAUUAUUGGGCCUAAAGCAUCCGUAGCCGGCCUUACAAGUCCCCCGUUAAAUCCAACUGCUUAACAGAUGGGCUGCGGAGGAUACUAUAAGACUAGGAGGCAGGAGAGGCAAGCGGUACUCAGUGGGUAGGGGUAAAAUCCAUUGAUCCAUUGAAGACCACCAGUGGCGAAGGCGGCUUGCCAGAAUGCGCUCGACGGUGAGGGAUGAAAGCUGGGGGAGCAAACCGG
rnacentral:rRNA from 1 species